rnacentral:lncRNA from 1 species
CAGGAACGAAACGAUUCGCGACGCACAGCUGGCGGGCAGAGCUGCAAGGCCACCUCGACUGCAGGCGGCAGGACUGUCGGAAGACAGAACAAGUCUGAAUCGCGAAUUUUCUGGGAAGCCGAAACUCCGGAACGAAACGGAGACCCUUAAGUUCUUCGGAACGUUUUCAUCCAAGUCUUGAACUGCUGAGAAAAGCGUUUAAUGUCGGGAACGCAACUUCCGUCUUGCUUCGCACGUUGCCUACCCCUCGAGUGCCUCGGGCAUUCACAGCCAAAUCCCGUUUGCCGUGGUACAGAAGUAAGCUUUACGCUGGAACAAGAAAAACGGCCGUGUGCUUUUCGACUAGAGUUCCUCCAAGUCUCGCCGCAUUCACACAGUUUGGGUACGGGAAUAUCCGGUCGUCCUAGAACGCAGAGUUCCUUUCUUCACGGGCACAGGUUGUCCUACGUAUAUCCGUGCCUCGACUGAACUUCCCCGCCCAGCCUCUCGGCACAUUUCGAUGCCGCUCAAUCCGGCGGAAGCGACCGCCGCUGGGUCUUCGCCAAAGUUUCCGUCAAGGCCGCUCGAAGAACGGCGACCGCCUCCCCCGUCUGUCGCACUCGCCUGACUGUUUUGGCCGAAAGAGACCGCUGAAGCACCUAAACCUGGCUCGAGCGCUUCUACAGGAGAGAGACGCCGCUCUGCCACAUCUGUUUUGUUCGGCAUUGGCGCAUGCAUACGCAGGCUGGAACUGGCUAAAACGGGGACGGCCCGAGACGACGUGCAGUGCGUGCUGGAGACGACGGAGUGUGCGGUGCGGGCUGCGUUUGGUGGACGUUCGUGAAUGCGAGGCGGGGCGUCACAAUCCUCUACACCUUCCAAAUCUUCAAUCAGCAACGAGGUGUCGUCUACAGGCGGGUUUUGUGAGUUCCACAGCAGCCCAGCUGGCGCUUGUGAAGAACCGCCCUGAGAUACGGAGCCGAGGUUCCGCAUCUCUUCCUUGACGUGCGUCGCAGAAGACACAGCACUGGCUGUCCCCUGCGUCCUCUGUGUUUCGCCUCGACGAUCCGUGCGCGGGGUCGGCGGACACUCGGCGGGUAAAGCUCCUGCGACGCCUGCAAGGGACGACUCUUCAACUCUGCCUCCGAGAGGACCGGCAGCAACGCUGCAUGAGAACACGCAGAAAAGGAGCGGAAAGGAGACUUCGCGAGAGACGAGAAACGGCUUUUGUUCAGGAGGACAGAGACACCCUGCCGAGAAAAAGCUCUUGCGAGUGCGCGCGGCGCGUCUCAUACGCUCGAGCCGCUUCUUCUGAUCGGUGCUGUCCUUGCCGCCCUCGCGUUGCCAGCGCGCAGUCUGUUACCUCUUUCCCAGUAUCAGACACCUUUGAGUUCCGUCCACAGCCGCUAGGGUGUAGACGAACUUCAUAUGGAUUCCUGGUAUACCGUGCGUACUCGCCGCGCGAGAAAACGCCUACUCAGAUCCCCCAGUAGGAUCAGUACAGAGCGAUCAAACCUCUUCCGUCGUUCUGAGUUCUGCAAAGAAGAACCCCUUUGUAAUGGAUGUCCCGACGCACCUGGGCUCCUUCCCUCGUUGAUCCUCAGGAGAGGCCUGGGUCUGAACAGGCCAGAAGACAGAACGCGGGGAAUGCCUCGUGCAUGAGGAUUCGCAUCGGAAGAACGUCGUAGACGAACUAAGGAAAGGAGACAUGUGUCUGUCGGUCUCGACGAUGAGAGGCCUUGAAGGGUGG